GGUGCCAGCAGCCGCGGUAAUUCCAGCUCCAAUAGCGUAUAUUAAAGUUGCUGCAGUUAAAAAGCUCGUAGUUGAAUUUCGGGACCAAUAUGUCGGUCGUGCCUCGGUACGUACUGGUAAUUUUGGUUUCUCCCUUCUGAAGAACCAUGAUGUCAUUAAUUUGGUGUCUUGGGAAUCAGGACUGUUACUUUGAAAAAUUAGAGUGUUUAAAGCAGGCUCGCGCUUGAAUACAUUAGCAUGGAAUAAUGAAAUAGGACGUUUGAUUCUAUUUUGUUGGUUUCUAGGAUCGACGUAAUGAUUAAUAGGGAUAGUUGGGGGCAUUAGUAUUCAAUUGUCAGAGGUGAAAUUCUUGGAUUUAUUGAAGACUAACUACUGCGAAAGCAUUUGCCAAGGAUGUUUUCAUUAAUCAAGAACGAAAGUUAGGGGAUCGAAGACGAUCAGAUACCGUCGUAGUCUUAACCAUAAACUAUGCCGACUAGGGAUCGGAUGAUGUUAAUUUUUUAAUGACUCAUUCGGCGCCUUACG
rnacentral:rRNA from 1 species